UGUCCAGAGGACCCCACAUCACAGCUCCUUUCCAGGCCCCGCCCCCUAUUCUAGAGCGCAGCCUUCACCCCGUUCCAUUCCCGAGCCUUCUAAACCCCGCCCCCCCCAAGGCCAUCUUCUCCUAGAGGAAACCUGGUCCGGUCCAUUCCCCCUGGACCUCGCUGCUUUUACCCGAUUCUUUCCUCAUUUUGCCUAUUCACUAAACGAGCCCACAAAACUGAUCUAGUCCGCCCACAACGCUUCGGGUGCAAACCACACCUCUCGCGAGCAUGCCCGUGGAACCGGUCCUACUGCGCCUGCGUGGUGUUCUACUCCCAGGUUCGAGACCCGGAUCUGCCCCUAGCGCUAACACGCUCCCCACUCCCCACCCCCGCAUCCACCGCUGCUGUGGUUCGGAUUGCUGCUGCCGCCAUUCUCAAUUCCAGGCUAGUCAUCCUAGAAGACCUACGGAUUCGCAUCAGUUGUGUUGUGUGGAGCAAAUCAAAGAAGCUAGGAUGUUUGGAAGAGACGUCUGCUCCCAAGAUUCCUGAGCUGCGUUUGGCGAUGACGUAGCUCGCGCCAGCGGGUGACUAGUUCGAGAUAAACGCUAAUAAUAGACUUUGGCUGGUGGCAACCCAAA